rnacentral:rRNA from 1 species
AACGAACGCUGGCGGCAGGCCUAACACAUGCAAGUCGAACGCCCUAGCAAUAGGGAGUGGCAGACGGGUGAGUAACACGUGGGAACGUGCCCUUCGGUUCGGAAUAACUCAGGGAAACUUGAGCUAAUACCGGAUAAGUGCGAGAGCAGCAAGAUUUAUCGCCGAAGGAUCGGCCCGCGUCCGAUUAGCUAGUUGGGGAGGUAAUGGCUCACCAAGGCGACGAUCGGUAGCGGGUCGGAGAGGAUGACCAGCCACACUGGGACUGAGACACGGCCCAGACUCCCACGGGAGGCAGCAGUGGGGAAUAUUGGACAAUGGGCGCAAGCCUGAUCCAGCCAUGCCGCGUGAGUGAUGAAGGCCCUAGGGUUGUAAAGCUCUUUCGCCAGGGACGAUAAUGACGGUACCUGGAUAAGAAGCCCCGGCUAACUUCGUGCCAGCCGCCGCCGUAA